AACGAACGCUGGCGGCAGGCUUAACACAUGCAAGUCGAACGCCCCGCAAGGGGAGUGGCAGACGGGUGAGUAACACGUGGGAACAUGCCCAAAGGUACGGAAUAUCCUCGGGAAACUGGGAGCAAUACCGUAUGUGCCCGAAAGGGGAAAGAUUUAUCGCUUUUGGAUUGGCCCGCGUUGGAUUAGCUAGUUGGUGGGGUAAAAGCCUACCAAGGCGACGAUCCAUAGCUGGUCUGAGAGGACGACCAGCCACACUGGGACUGAGACACGGCCCAGACUCCUACGGGAGGCAGCAGUGGGGAAUCUUGGACAAUGGGCGCAAGCCUGAUCCAGCCAUGCCGCGUGAGUGAUGAAGGCCCUAGGGUUGUAAAACUCUUUCGUGGGGGACGAUAAUGACGGUACCCCAAGAAGAAGCUCCGGCUAACUUCGUGCCAGCAGCAGCCGCUG
rnacentral:rRNA from 1 species